rnacentral:rRNA from 1 species
GACGAACGCUGGCGGCGUGCCUAACACAUGCAAGUCGAACGGAGUGUUUAUUUAUAAACACUUAGUGGCGAACGGGUGAGUAACGCGUAGACAACCUACCCUCUAGAUGGGGACAACACCGCGAAAGUGGUGCUAAUACCGAAUGUUGUAAUGUUGUUGCAUAAUGAUAUUACUAAAGGUGGCCUCUAUAUAAAAGCUACCGCUAGAAGAUGGGUCUGCGUCUGAUUAGCUAGUUGGUGAGAUAACAGCUCACCAAGGCAAUGAUCAGUAGCCGGUCUAAGAGGAUGGACGGCCACACUGGGACUGAGACGCGGCCCGGCCUCCUACGGGAGGCAGAAGUGGGGAAUGUUCCGCAAUGGACGAAAGUCUGACGGAGCAACGCCGCGUGAGUGAAGAAGGUUUUCGGAUCGUAAAGCUCUGUCUUCAAGGACGAAUGUAGAUAUUGUGAAUAAUGAUAUUUAAUGACGGUACUUGAGGAGGAAGCCACGGCUAACUACGUGCCAGCAGCCGCCGUAA